rnacentral:lncRNA from 7 species
CCUGCAGCAGCCAUUCCCUCUCGAGUCCAUGACGUGUGGGCCCCCCUUGCGCAGCUCGUUCUCCCACCUCGGUGCAGGAAUCAUAUCUUAGCGCAACAAACGCUCGAGCUCAACGUCCUCCCAGGAAUCCGCGCGGGCAUCGGUUGAGGACCCCAUCCCCACGCCUCGGGAUCGUUCCUCGCCCAUAUAUACCCAAGCGAGACCCCCCUGAAGCCAUAGCCCAAGCCAUCGUCGCCCCACCACCGUCGCGGAGGAGAAACGAAUUUCGCCGCCGCGGUCAAAUCCCAAGUACGCCGCAUCCAAUCCUUCGAAGGGUGGUCGGGGACAUCCGUUGCAUCUCCUUGGAUGCUCCCAUGGCUGCGUCGGGGGGAAAUCGACUGUUGGGGCGCCCCCGAUUGCUCGUCGUCGUUCAAAUCCGGCCACUAGCCGCCAUUCACCGCGUGGCACCCUCUCUCCAUCUCCUCCUCCGGUAAGAAUUCUCCGUUGGGUUCGCUAUUACCUCUGCAUCGCGUAGGAGCUUUCAGAUUGGGAGAUUUGUGCUUGUGUCCGCGGAUUUGGUAUCUCGCCGACGAGGGCGUG